AGCAGCCGCGGUAAUUCCAGCUCCAAUAGCGUAUAUUAAAGUUGUUGCAGUUAAAAAGCUCGUAGUUGAAUUUCGGGGUUAGUAGGUUGGUCAUGCCUCUGGUAUGUACUGGUCUCACUGAUUCCUCCUUCCUGAUGAACCUUAAUGCCAUUUAUUUGGUGUUUUGGGGAAUUUGGACUGUUACUUUGAAAAAAUUUAGAGUGUUUAAAGCAAGCUAACGCUUGAAUACAUUAGCAUGGAAUAAUGAGAUAGGACGUUCGAUCCUAUUUUGUUGGUUUCUAGGAUUGACGUAAUGAUUAAUAGGGAUAGUUGGGGGCGAUUAGUAUUCAAUUGUCAGAGGUGAAAUUCUUGGAUUUAUUGAAGACUAACUACUGCGAAAGCAUUUGCCAAGGAUGUUUUCAUUAAUCAAGAACGAAAGUUAGGGGAUCGAAGACGAUCAGAUACCGUCGUAGUCUUAACCAUAAACUAUGCCGACUAGGGAUCGGAUGAUGUUAAUUUUUUAAUGACUCAUUCGGCGCCU
rnacentral:rRNA from 1 species